UAUAUAUAUAUAUGAGUCUAGCUACUAUGCUAUUAAUAGUACGAAACACUUGGUGCUACCAAGUUUUCCACCGUUGGAUCUACUAUUUGGAUCAUUUUCACUCGUUAGAUCAUACUAUUCAACCAACCACCCACUCAACCCUAGGGGGCCCACAUCAUCCUAACCGCACAUCUCUUAAUCCAAUGGCCAAAAACUUGGUAGCACCAAUGACUUAGUGCUAUUAAUAGUAUAUUAGCCUAGUUCUAUAUAUAUAUAUAUGAGUUGGACUGUGCUAUUAUUAGUAGCAAAAUUUUAUUAUUGCUAUCAAUUUUUUAGCCUUUGAAUCAAUUCUUUUCAUUAUUUCUAACUAUUGGAUUAAAUAUUAUAACCGAAUGGGGACCACUCAACCCUAGGGGGACCACUCAACUCUAACCGACUAAUAUCAUCCUAACCCUACAAUUUUUUAUCCAAGAGUUAAAAAAUUGAUAGCAAAAAGAACGUUUUACUAUUAAUAAUAUUUCAGCCCAAUUCUAUAUAUAUAUAUAUAUAUAAAAUUUAAAGCGCAGCAUCCCAUUUGGUCACCUUGAACUUGAGUAGUACAAGGUCAUCGGUAUUAGUAGGUUUUCGGCCCUUAGAUUAAGAAACAUACGGAUUAGAAUGAUAGUGGUUCCUAAGGUUGAAUGACUUGAUUCAAUAAUGUGAUUUAACAAAUAAAAAUAAUCAAAGUGAUAAAUUUAGUGACAAAAAACUUACAAGUACUAACUGUUUGGUGCUUUUACAAGCACCAUAAUUAGACUAUAUAUAUAUAUAUAUAGAGAGAGAGAGAGAGAGAGAGAGAGAGAGAGAGAGAGAGAGAGUGUUUGACUGGGCUACUAUCGGUAGUAAACUGCUCGGUUUACUACCGAUUUAUUUUUGAUGAUAGAGUUUCCAAAUCGACGAUCGACAUCGUUAAACAUGAUAUAGACUAUUUAAAUUAUCUAGAAAUCAAAUUUCAUAAUUUUUUGGUAUCACUAACUGAACGAUCAAAAGGUCACAAAAUCUAUAAUUUUAAUGGCCGAUAUGGU
rnacentral:lncRNA from 1 species